rnacentral:misc_RNA from 1 species
UGGUUCCGGCAUCGAUGAAGAACGCAGCGAAAUGCGAUAAGUAAUGUGAAUUGCAGAUUUUAGUGAAUCAUCGAAUCUUUGAACGCACAUUGCGCCCUUUGGUAUUCCAAGGGGCAUGCCUGUCCGAGCGUCAUAAAACAAACUCAAGCAAGUAUUAUUUACUUCUUGGUAGUGGACUUGGUGACUGAGAUCGCCUGUCUGAAUAGCAGUGCCAGAGCCUGUAAAUGCCUGAAGCGUAGUAGAUUUUUCUUCCUUCAGCGCUUACAGUUGCCCUCGGCCAAACCCUUCUUAACUGAAGAAUUUCACAAGUUUGACCUCGGAUCAGGUAGGAUUACCCGCUGA